UGUCAUAUUUGACUCCAAAACACUACCCAACCUUCUUCUUGCUUCUCAAAGCUUUGAUGGUGUAGCUGAAGUCCGUAUGAGUAUUUGGCUUUGUAUAUUCUAACAAGGAAACAUUACUUAGGCUUUCAAGAUUCAGUUAUUGUUCUAGUU
rnacentral:sRNA from 1 species